rnacentral:rRNA from 1 species
AUUGAACGCUGGCGGCAGGCCUAACACAUGCAAGUCGAGCGGAUGAAGGGAGCUUGCUCCUGGAUUCAGCGGCGGACGGGUGAGUAAUGCCUAGGAAGCUGCCUGGUAGUGGGGGAUAACGUCCGGAAACGGGCGCUAAUACCGCAUACGUCCUGAGGGAGAAAGUGGGGGAUCUUCGGACCUCACGCUAUCAGAUGAGCCUAGGUCGGAUUAGCUAGUUGGUGGGGUAAAGGCCUACCAAGGCGACGAUCCGUAACUGGUCUGAGAGGAUGAUCAGUCACACUGGAACUGAGACACGGUCCAGACUCCUACGGGAGGCAGCAGUGGGGAAUAUUGGACAAUGGGCGAAAGCCUGAUCCAGCCAUGCCGCGUGUGUGAAGAAGGUCUUCGGAUUGUAUAGCACUUUAAGUUGGGAGGAAGGGCAGUAAGUUAAUACCUUGCUGUUUUGACGUUACCAACAGAAUAAGCACCGGCUAACUUCGUG